rnacentral:rRNA from 1 species
UUGCUCUUCAACGAGGAAUCCCUAGUAAGCGCAAGUCAUCAGCUUGCGUUGAUUACGUCCCUGCCCUUUGUACACACCGCCCGUCGCUACUACCGAUUGAAUGGCUCAGUGAGGCUUCCGGACUGGCCCAGAGAGGUCGGCAACGACCACUCAGGGCCGGAAAGCUACCCAAACUCGGUCAUUUAGAGGAAGUAAAAGUCGUAACAAGGUCUCCGUUGGUGAACCAGCGGAGGGAUCAUUACAGAGUUGCAAAACUCCCUAAACCAUUGUGAACGUUACCUAUACCGUUGCUUCGGCGGGCGGCCCCGGGGUUUACCCCCCGGGCGCCCCUGGGCCCCACCGCGGGCGCCCGCCGGAGGUCACCAAACUCUUGAUAAUUUAUGGCCUCUCUGAGUCUUCUGUACUGAAUAAGUCAAAACUUUCAACAACGGAUCUCUUGGUUCUGGCAUCGAUGAAGAACGCAGCGAAAUGCGAUAAGUAAUGUGAAUUGCAGAAUUCAGUGAAUCAUCGAAUCUUUGAACGCACAUUGCGCCCGCCAGCAUUCUGGCGGGCAUGCCUGUUCGAGCGUCAUUUCAACCAUCAAGCCCCCGGGCUUGUGUUGGGGACCUGCGGCUGCCGCAGGCCCUGAAAAGCAGUGGCGGGCUCGCUGUCGCACCGAGCGUAGUAGCAUACAUCUCGCUCUGGUCGCGCCGCGGGUUCCGGCCGUUAAACCACCUUUUAACCCAAGGUUGACCUCGGAUCAGGUAGGAAGACCCGCUGAACUUAAGCAUAUCAAUAAGCGGAGGAAAUCUGAAUUCGUC